CAUGCAAUGAGCUGCACACAUAAACAUGGCGGCCAACAUAGAACAGAUUUUCCAAGACUUUAUAUUGAAUAAGAUCAGAGAGAUCGAAGACCAGAAUGAAGACAAACCAGCUGCUGGAGAAGAGGCCGCCGCCUUUGAGACGGUUGAAGCGGAAGAAGCGACUUCAGACAGAAAGAAGCAGGAAGACGUCAGGACCAGCGGCUCACUGAGGAAACACCGGAAGCACAAGAAACACAAAAGUAAGAAGAAGAGGAGGAACCGAGAGAAGGAGAGCAGUUCAGAGUCCGGAGCAGAGGACGCCGGACCCCAGCACCAGUCCAGAGGAGGAACGCCCACCGAGCCCAACCAGGAACAAGUGUGUGUGAGUACACGAGCUGCAGCUCUUCUGUUGAACCCACCAUGCUGCUCCACUGUGUGUCCAGGUGUGGACGACGACAGUAAGUCCAGAUGCCACAAGCGGCAUUCAACAGCAAAGAGGAAGAAGAAGAAGAAAAGGAAGAAAGGUGAAGAGAGCUCGUCAGAUUGCGACUCAGAGUUUGUGUCAAAGCAGAAGGAGAGGAAGAGCGGUCAGAGCUCAUCGCCACGGCGACGAGAGGAGCUGCCUGAUAUCAUCCCUAAACAGGACAGCUCCAAUAAGGGAAGAGAUGAAGAGCGGAGCGCUCGAUCCCGCUCUCCUUCCUGUUUAGUGGGGAGGAGCUCUCGGCCUAGACACCCCCACCGGAGAUCCAGCUCCUCAGAGAAAAGGGCGGCUUUUGAGGAAUCCAUACAGUCCACCCAAAGUCCUGCAAAAGGCCUGCAGCCCCCCCAGCUGCAGAGCCAUGACCAGAGAGGACCGCCCCCCCAGAACAAAGAGGACCCCACACAACGACUAGGUUCUGGUGCACCCCAGUCCAUGCUGGAUCAGUCCAUAUCUACUAGGCCCACCCCCCCUCAGCUCAAAGCACCACACAGGCCUCAUGAAGAAGCCAAGAAGAAGUCCCCACAGAGGAAGAAAGAAGCAAAGGCAUCAAAGAGGCAGAAAAGAUCCAAGUCACCAUGUAGGAGCCACAGGAGGGGGUCCAGGUCCAGGUCCAGGUCCAGGUCCAGGAGUCCUUCGAAGAAGAAGAGGUCCCGGUCCAGGUCAGGGGGCCGGCGCUCGCGGAGGUCUCGCUCACGUUCGGUGUCACAUGGUCGGAGGAGGGCCACAUUCAGCCAAAGGGACCGCUGGAAACGAGAGCCAAGCCACUCCCCUGUACUCAUCCUCCGCAAAAACAGAUCCCCCAGUCGGAAACUGUGCAGUUUGAGUACCAGCCCUCAACGCAUCAGCGAACUGGAUAAGGACCAGUUGCUGGAAAUUGCCAAGGCCAAUGCUGCUGCCAUGUGUGCCAAAGCAGGCAUGCCCAUCCCAGCCAGCCUGAGGUCCACAGCGCUCCCCAUGGCUCUGCCCAGCAUGGCCAUGAAUGCUGCUAUGGCCAGUAUGACGGCUGCCACCAUGACAGCGGCCUUGUCUAACAUGGGCAUGUCUUCACUGCUCCCACUGCCUUCCAUUACCAACAAGCCGCCGCCGGUCUCCUCCCAACCCAACAUUGCUUUGGAGGAAGUGAAGAGGAAAGUAGCGAAGCAGGCCAACAGCAUCAGCAUCAAGGAGUUUACAGAUAAAUGCAAGAUGAUUGUGGACAGCAAAGGAGAGCUGCCGGUGGCGAUGCCUCAUGUUUCAGACGAAGAGGACGAUGGGAAACCUUUUGGAGGAUCCGCUCUUCGGGAGCAAAAAGCCAUCAGCUUCAGCAUCAAUAACACCACAGUUCGUCCAGCGGUGCGGAGCGACGCAGGCAUGGCCAAAGAGUUCCCCGUGUCGUCAGGAUGCCAACAUCGCAAAAAGGAGGGCGAUGCUCUGGGUGCCUAUGGAGAAUGGGUUCCGGUGGACAAAACAGCAGACAAAGCUGCCUCCAGAAAGAUCGCCACCACUGUUCCCAUAGCAACAGCCAUGUCAUCAUCAGGUGAAACCAUGACGACACCAGUGUUACCAGAGGUUGUCGAGCAGCCAGAUGGAGAGCCGGAUAAUGACAGCGUUUUUCCUGACCCACUACUGCAGCCAGUAGAUAUCUCUCAGGCCGUCACUGAGAGAAUCAAAGCUCAGAGGCGAUUGGCUGAGAACCCCUAUGACGUCAAUGCCAUCUGCAUGCUCAGCCGGGCACAGGAGCAGGUGGAUGCGUGGGCCCAAUCCAACACUGUUCCUGGCCUUUUCACUGGUUCCACUGGAGCCCAGGUCCUCAGCUCGGAGGAGCUUUCCACCAGCGGACCACAAGCAUGGCUGAAGAAGGACCAGUUCCUCAGAGCAGCUCCAGUGUCAGGGGGCGUCGGGGAGUUCCUGAUGAGGAAGAUGGGCUGGAAGACAGGGGAGGGCCUAGGGAGGAACCGCGAGGGUACCGUGGAGCCCAUCGUUAUUGACUUCAAGGUUGAUCGCAAAGGACUAGUCGCUGAAGGAGAGAAGACCCAGAAGCAGACGGGAGGACUGGUGGUAACCAAAGAUCUGAUGGGGAAGCACCCGGUGUCUGCUCUCAUCGAGCUGUGCAACAAGAGACGGAUCAUACAGCCGGACUUCGUAAUGGUUCAUCACAGCGGUCCAGACCACCGCAAGAAUUUCCUCUUCAAGGUCACUGUGAAUGGCGUGGACCACCAGCCACAGACAGCUAGUCCCAAUAAGAAACUCGCCAAGGCCAUGGCAGCCACGGUUGCACUGCAGGCUCUGGGAGAGGUUCCUGUCGAUGGACCAGGACUCUACACUGGUCCCGUCUUCACUGCUGCGUCUACUGGGCCCCUGUUCUCGACAUAGACCUCCACACCAUUUCAACUGGUCGAGUCUCUGCAGGUCAAGGACCAGAAGAGUCCCCCGGGUCCACAUCGAUACCGAGGAACCAGGAAGUGCUCUCGUUACAGGACCGAGGGAACAUCUUCGUAUGGAAGACACCUGUGACCAAAUGUAUACCACAACUUCCUGUUUGUGGUUUAGGAGUCGCGCUCAUAUUCACAGUGGAUUGUAUGAAUGAUGGUAUGUACAGUCAGUAGCAUUCAGCCUGAUGUAUAGCAACUGACCAGUUCUGAGUGUUGCUGGGUCCAUGUGUGUCUUGGUUAACUUCUGUUACGUAUGUGGCCUCCUAACAACGUGCUGCUCAUGAAAGAGGCUUUUAUGGAAACUGAAUAAAGAUUAUAUUUAUGUUAUGUAGUAGAUGAAGCCACCUUAUGUUUUCUGGCCACAAUGCCCGUGUUGAAUGUUAUUUAAGGUUAAUGUUACCAUGGACACCGAGGCCCCCCCCCAUUGUCAUGACUGGCGGGGUCCAGCAGCAGUCCCUCCCUCACCGGCCAGGUGGGUUUGAGACGCUUCCCUCCCCAGGUGGGUUUGGGGCCCCCCAUGACACCUCCCCCUCAGGUGGGUUUGGGGCCCCCCAUGACACCUCCCUCCUCAGGUGGGUUUGGGGCCCCCCAUGACACCUCCCCCUCAGGUGGGUGCCCCCCAUGACACCUCCCUCCUCAGGUGGGUUUGGGGCCCCCCAUGACACCUCCCCCUCAGGUGGGUGCCCCCCAUGACACCUCCCCCUCAGGUGGGUUUGGGGCCCCCCAUGACACCUCCCUCCUCAGGUGGGUUUGGGGCCCCCCAUGACACCUCCCCCUCAGGUGGGUGCCCCCCAUGACACCUCCCCCUCAGGUGGGUUUGGGGCCCCCCAUGACACCUCCCCCUCAGGUGGGUGCCCCCCAUGACACCUCCCUCCUCAGGUGGGUUUGGGGCCCCCCAUGACACCUCCCCCUCAGGUGGGUUUGGGGCCCCCCAUGACACCUCCCCCUCAGGUGGGUUUGGGGCCCCCCAUGACUCGAGGAGUAAAAACCUAAAUGACCGUUCAUGGAUCAGAGAUACAAUUCUAUUUCUUAAGUGAAUCAAAAGCCUGACGGUUGUUCUGUGGAGCGCCAUGUUGUUCAAUCUUCAUCAUCAUCAUCAUCAUCCACACACACAAUGACCUCAAGAUAUCCGUGUUGAUGUCAAAGCUAACUUCAGUUAGCAUAUUCAUUAUAAAUACGUUUCGCUUUUAUAUAAAUGUGUUUCUGGUCACAGAAUGAGACAAAAUAUUUACCGAAAAUCAACCGCAAUUUGUAAAAAAUGUAGUUUGAUCGCUUAUUUACACAGUUUAGUUAUGAGAUAAUGUACAUUAUUAACAAUAAAAGUCAUUAAAACCCUGACUGGUUUAUUUCCAGAGCCUUUAAUCCAACACAACGGCUCCAGGUUUAUAUUUUAUUUGUAUUCACGAGGUCCAGUUAGAGAUCACAAUAAUGUAAUUUGUGCUCUAUGAU